CACACUGAGCGCUGUGAGCGGGAGCACUGGAGAGUUAGAGACUGCAAAAGAUUCUGUGGCUAGCUACACACGAGUUCUUAACGCGCGACGGGUGCAUGUUUAAUGGUCACGUGCUGUGAAAGGGACUGAAGAGCGGGUUGGCGUGAGUAGUUACAGUGUCCUAACAGAUUUCAAAGUUGUUAAGUUUAUACUUUUACUCACUUUGCAUAACUCUGUAUGUUUCUGUUUGAUUCAGAGGGGAGAUCACUUGCUGUGUGAUUCCUGCGUGUGUACUUGUCCUAGCACAGUAGCUGUGUGGAGAAACCGAAGUGAGUUCAUGAUGUUCUCCCAUAGAAAUGUAUGUUUAAAAGAGAGUUUACAGUGCACUUUAUUGCCAGUUGACCUGCGAAGUUGUGGGAUGUAAACAAUGUGUUUAUUUGUUUUGUUUUCUCUUUUUUUGUUGUAUUUGUUUCUUGACAGGUCACUACUGUUGUCUAUACUGUUUGGAUUUAACAUGUACAUAUGAUAGUUACUGUUGUCUCAGACCCUGAAAGGCAGUUUAGGCUGAGCCAGUGGAAUAGUUAAAUUUUGCCGUUUCACUCAAAACUACAGAAUUAAAACUGUGCUCCUCCGAGUACAGUCGGAGAAUAAAAAAGCCCACAAAAGAGUA